rnacentral:rRNA from 1 species
UACAGAGGUCCCGAGCGUUGUUCGGAUUCAUUGGGCGUAAAGGGUGCGUAGGCGGUGAGGUAAGUCUGGUGUGAAAUCCCGGAGCUCAACUCCGGAACUGCACUGGAUACUGCCUUACUUGAGCACUGGAGAGGGAACUGGAAUUUACGGUGUAGCAGUGAAAUGCGUAGAUAUCGUAAGGAAGACCAGCGGCGAAGGCGAGUUCCUGGACAGUUGCUGACGCUGAGGCACGAAGGCCAGGGGAGCAAACGGG